rnacentral:rRNA from 1 species
GAUGAACGCUGACAGAAUGCUUAACACAUGCAAGUCUAUGAGAAGAUCUACUUCGGUAGAAGGUAUCAUGGCGGACGGGUGAGUAACGCGUAAAGAACUUGCCUCUUAGACUGGGAUAACAGAUGGAAACGUCUGAUAAGACUAGAUAUAAUAGCGACAUGGCAUCAUGUUGUUAUGAAAGGUAACACUAAGAGAGAGCUUUGCGUCCUAUUAGUUAGUUGGUGAGGUAAUGGCUCACCAAGACGAUGAUAGGUAGCCGGCCUGAGAGGGUGAACGGCCACAAGGGGACUGAGAUACGGCCCUUACUCUUACGGGAGGCAGCAGUGGGGAAUAUUGGACAAUGGAGGAAACUCUGAUCCAGCAAUUCUGUGUGCACGAUGAAGGUUUUCGGAUCGUAAAGUGCUUUCAGUAGGGAAGAAGAAAGUGACGGUACCUACAGAAGAAGCGACGGCUAAAUACGUGCCAGCAGCCGCGGUAAAAU